rnacentral:rRNA from 1 species
GACUCUCGGCAACGGAUAUCUCGGCUCUCGCAUCGAUGAAGAACGUAGCGAAAUGCGAUACCUUGUGUGAAUUGCAGAAUCCCGCGAACCAUCGAGUCUUUGAACGCAAGUUGCGCCCGAGGCCACUCGGCCGAGGGCACGCCUGCCUGGGCGUCA